GUCGGGAUAGCUCAGCUGGUAGAGCAGAGGACUGAAAAUCCUCGUGUCACCNGUUCNNAUA
rnacentral:tRNA from 1 species